CCCGCUGAACUUAAGCAUAUCAAUAAGCGGAGGAAAAGAAACUAACAAGGAUUCCCCUAGUAACGGCGAGUGAAGCGGGAAGAGCUCAAAUUUAAAAUCUGGUUUGCUUGCAAAUCCGAGUUGUAGUCUGAAGAAACGUUUUCCAUGAAAAUCGAGGCACAAGUCCUUUGGAACAGGGCAUCAUAGAGGGUGAGAAUCCCGUCCAUGGUCUCGAAUCUUUCAUUUUGUGAUACGUUUUCUAAGAGUCAGGUUGUUUGGGAAUGCAGCCUAAAAUGGGUGGUAAAUUUCAUCUAAAGCUAAAUAUUGGCGAGAGACCGAUAGCGAACAAGUACCGUGAGGGAAAGAUGAAAAGAACUUUGAAAAGAGAGUUAAAAAGUACGUGAAAUUGUUGAAAGGGAACCGUUUGAAGCCAGUCUUGCUUGCCUGUGAUCAAUCUUUAGCUUUGGCUUGGAUGCACUCUCAGGCUAUGCAGGUACAACGUCAGUAUGAGAGAAGUGAAAAAAGUUAGAUGGAAUGUGGCCUUCGGGUGGUUAUAGCCUCUUACUAAAUAGCAUCUCUUGGACUGAGGCUCGCAAGCAAAAAUGUGGGUUGGUUCGCUCCUGAGUUGAAGCUCUAUCAAGACAGCUUGCUGACUUGGUUUAGUGGAGGUUCACGGUAGAUCGGCUUCUAAUUUGCUUAGGUCGUUGACAUAAUGGCUUUAAAUGACCCGUCUUGAUACACGG
rnacentral:rRNA from 1 species